UCGAUCUGGCUGCGACAUCCGUCACCCCACUGAUCGCCAGGGUUGAUUCGGCUGAUCUGGCUGGCUAGGCGGGUGUCUCCUUCCUCCUUCUGCGCUCCAAGUGAGUCCCUCCCGAAGCUGUGCGCUUGGUUGAAGAGGACGACCUGACCUGAUAGAGGAGGCCCGGUCAAGGAUAUACGAGUAACUGCACUUCCCUGCUAGAACCUCCAAACAAGCUCUCAAAACAAUCUUAAUACAUAGAAAUGAUACAGUUGGACCUCUUUCUUUCAUAAAUAAUUUAUAAUCUUAAUAAAUCAGAAUUUGAGUUAUA
rnacentral:snRNA from 1 species